rnacentral:rRNA from 1 species
UACGAAGGGGGCUAGCGUUGCUCGGAAUCACUGGGCGUAAAGGGUGCGUAGGCGGGCUUUUAAGUCAGGGGUGAAAUCCCGGAGCUCAACUCCAGAACUGCCUUUGAUACUGAAGAUCUCGAGUCCGGGAGAGGUGAGUGGAACUGCGAGUGUAGAGGUGAAAUUCGUAGAUAUUCGCAAGAACACCAGUGGCGAAGGCGGCUCACUGGCCCGGUACUGACGCUGAGGCACGAAAGCGUGGGGAGCAAACAGG